GGGCAGGUCUGUUCUGUCUUGCAGCUGUGGGAAGGAACCUUCUGGAUAUUAACCCUUUUCCUCAAAAAAGUGGUAUCAACACUUCAGAAGGAUCAAAGGUGUUUUACCAUGGCUGAGUCUUUUUACUGAGCGGCCAGGACUCCACAUCAAGCCCUGGAGAUGGACCCUGCAACACAAAAUCUCAUGGAAACAGGAAGAAUCGACAUGAAAACAGAAGAAUCUGUGCUGAGGUGCUGAAGAAAAGGACUUGCCCACAGCAAAACUUUCAGCAACCACCUGUAGGGUGAAAACAAAAAAAGUUCUUUAUGCACCAGUUACAACAGAAACUGGGAACACUGGAGGGUUCCUGGAACCAACAGUCAUGUUGGGAGUUCUACGGAUUCAUCGGAAUGCAACGUCCAGAGUGUGUCAGACUGAGGCCUUUCUGCAGCAGAGGGAGAGUGGAGAUGGGCAGGGGUGAGAGCUGAGUUUGGGGGAUGCUUUCAUCCUUAAAAAACAAGCAAAGAGAAGCUUUUAAAUUAAGACAUGGGAAG